rnacentral:rRNA from 1 species
GAUGAACGCUGGCGGCGUGCCUAAUACAUGCAAGUCGAGCGAACAGACGAGGAGCUUUCUCCUCUGACGUUAGCGACGGACGGGUGAGUAACACGUAGAUAACCUACCUCUAAGACUGAGAUAACUUCGGGAAACCGUAGCUAAUACCGGAUAAUAUCUUGAACCGCAUGGUUCAGUAGAGAAAGACGGUUUUGCUGUCACUUAUAGAUGGAUCCGCGCGGCAUUGGCUAGUUGGUAAGGUAACGGGCUACCAAGGAAACGAAGCGUAGGCGACCUGAGCGGGGGGUCGCCGACAUGGGAAGGUAGACAGGGACAAUACUCCUAAGGGAGGCAGCAGAAGGGAACCGGCGGCAGUGGGCGAAAGUAUGACGGAGUAAGGGCGCGUGUGUGAUGAAGGUGUUGGGAGCGUAAUACUGUGUUACUAGUUAAGAACAACUGUGUAUGGAAAAAUGGAGGUAGUGACGGUACCUACUGAGAAAGCACCGGCUAACUACGUG